AUGGCUCAGGAUGAACGCUGGCGGCAUGCCUAAUACAUGCAAGUCGAACGUAGAGUAAGCAAUUACUCUAGUGGCGAACGGGUGAGUAACACGUGGGUAACUGUCUAAAGCCGAGGAUAACAGUUGGAACGACUGCUAAUACUGGAUAGGUUGAUAGAACACAGGUUCAAUCAAUUAAAGAUGCUACGGCAUCACUUUAAGAGAGGCCCGCGGUGCAUUAGCUAGUUGGUGAGGUAAUGGCCCACCAAGGCAAUGAUGCAUAGCUGUGCUGAGAGGCAAAACAGCCACACUGGGACUGAGACACGGCCCAGACUCCUACGGGAGGCAGCAGUAGGGAAUUUUCGGCAAUGGAGGAAACUCUGACCGAGCAAUGCCGCCGUGAACGAUGAAGGUCUUCGGACUGUAAAGUUCUGUUGUUAGGGAAGAAUAAUACAACUAGGGAAUGAGUUGUAGAUGACGGUACCUAACUAGAAAGCCCCGGCUAACUAUGUGCCAGCCGCGGC
rnacentral:rRNA from 1 species